rnacentral:lncRNA from 12 species
UAUGGAUUUCUGCACUAGACCCUUGACUGACUUUGCUGUCACCGCUGUGCCACGUUCCAUGACCUCUGCUGACUUAGGCGACACUCCCCAGAGAGCUCCACUGGAAAGUUUACGAAGAUCUUCAAAUGGUGUAAAACAUCUGUUUCCUUAUCAGAAUAUUUGGAGGAGAUUCAACACGACUUCAAUGUUUGGAAGAAAAUAAUUUGCACAAUCAUUGCUUCUGUUGCCUAGAGCGUUG